rnacentral:rRNA from 1 species
CGGCUCACCAAGGCAACGAUGUCUAGGGGUUCUGAGAGGAAGGUCCCCCACACUGGUACUGAGACACGGACCAGACUCCUACGGGAGGCAGCAGUGAGGAAUAUUGGUCAAUGGACGCAAGUCUGAACCAGCCAUGUCGCGUGCAGGAAGACUGCCCUAUGGGUUGUAAACUGCUUUUAUAUGGGAAGAAUGUGACCUACGUGUAGGUUUUUGCCGGUACCAUAUGAAUAAGCAUCGGCUAACUCCGUGCCAGCAGCCGCGGUAAUACGGAGGAUGCAAGCGUUAUCCGGAUUCAUUGGGUUUAAAGGGUGCGUAGGCGGAAUAGUAAGUCAGAGGUGAAAGUUUGCGGCUCAACCGUAAAAUUGCCUUUGAUACUGUUAUUCUUGAGUACAUUUGAGGUAGGCGGAAUGUGGCGUGUAGCGGUGAAAUGCUUAGAUAUGCCACAGAACACCGAUUGCGAAGGCAGCUUACUAAACUGUAACUGACGCUGAUGCACGAAAGCGUGGGGAUCGAACAGGAUUAGAUACCCUGGUAGUCCACGCCGUAAACGAUGAUACUAGCUGUUUGCGAUACACAGUAAGCGGCAAAGCGAAAGCAUUAAGUUAUCCACCUGGGGAGUACGUUGGCAACAAUGAAACUCAAAGGAAUUGACGGGGGCCCGCACAAGCGGAGGAACAUGUGGUUUAAUUCGAUGAUACGCGAGGAACCUUACCUGGACUUAAAUGUAGGCUGCAUAGAUCAGAGAUGGUCUUUUCUUCGGACUGCUUACAAGGUGCUGCAUGGUUGUCGUCAGCUCGUGCCGUGAGGUGUCGGGUUAAGUCCCAUAACGAGCGCAACCCACGUUGUUAGUUACCAGCACAUAAUGGUGGGCACUCUAACAAGACUGCCGGUGUAAACCGCGAGGAAGGUGUGGAUGACGUCAAAUCAGCACGGCCCUUACGUCCAGGGCUACACACGUGUUACAAUGGCCGGUACAGAGGGCCGCUACCUGGUGACAGGAUGCGAAUCUCAAAAACCGGUCUCAGUUCGGAUCGAAGUCUGCAACCCGACUUCGUGAAGCUGGAUUCGCUAGUAAUCGCGCAUCAGCCAUGGCGCGGUGAAUACGUUCCCGGGCCUUGUACACACCGCCCGUCAAACCAUGGAAGCCGGGGGUACCUGAAGUCUGUGACCGCAAGGAGCGGCCUAGGGUAAAUCUGGUAACUAGGGUUAAGUCGUAACAAGGUA